AACGAACGCUGGCGGCAUGCCUAACACAUGCAAGUCGAACGAGACCUUCGGGUCUAGUGGCGCACGGGUGCGUAACGCGUGGGAACCUGCCCUUAGGUUCGGAAUAACUCCCCGAAAGGGGUGCUAAUACCGGAUAAUGUCUUCGGACCAAAGAUUUAUCGCCUUUGGAUGGGCCCGCGUUGGAUUAGCUAGUUGGUAGGGUAAAAGCCUACCAAGGCGACGAUCCAUAGCUGGUCUGAGAGGAUGAUCAGCCACACUGGGACUGAGACACGGCCCAGACUCCUACGGGAGGCAGCAGUGGGGAAUAUUGGACAAUGGGCGAAAGCCUGAUACAGCAAUGCCGCGUGAGUGAUGAAGGCCUUAGGGUUGUAAAGCUCUUUUAGCCGGGAUGAUAAUGACAGUACCGGGAGAAUAAGCACCGGCUAACUCCGUG
rnacentral:rRNA from 1 species